UACGUAGGGGGCUAGCGUUGUCCGGAAUCAUUGGGCGUAAAGAGCGUGUAGGCGGCCCGGUAAGUCCGCUGUAAAAGUCAAAGGCUCAACCUUUGAAUGUCAGUGGAUACUGCCGGGCUAGAGUACGGAAGAGGCGAGUGGAAUUCCUGGUGUAGCGGUGAAAUGCGCAGAUAUCAGGAGGAACACCUAUUGCGAAGGCAGCUCGCUGGGACGUCACUGACGCUGAGGAGCGAAAGCAUGGGGAGCGAACAGG
rnacentral:rRNA from 1 species